rnacentral:rRNA from 1 species
UACGUAGGGGGCAAGCGUUGUCCGGAAUUAUUGGGCGUAAAGGGUGCGUAGGCGGCCUUUUAAGUCAGAUGUGAAAGCCCGCGGCUUAACUGCGGGAUUGCAUUUGAAACUGGGAGGCUUGAGUAUCGGAGAGGGUAGUGGAAUUCCCAGUGUAGCGGUGAAAUGCGUAGAUAUUGGGAGGAACACCAGUGGCGAAGGCGACUGCCUGGACGAAAACUGACGCUGAGGCACGAAAGCUAGGGGAGCAAACAGGAUUAGAUACCCUGGUAGUCCUAGCCGUAAACGAUGGGUACUAGGUGUAGGAGGUUUCGAUACCUUCUGUGCCGCAGUUAACGCAUUAAGUACCCCGCCUGGGGAGUACGUGCGCAAGCAUGAAACUCAAAGGAAUUGACGGGGGCCCGCACAAGCGGUGGAGCAUGUGGUUUAAUUCGAAGCAACGCGAAGAACCUUACCAGGUCUUGACAUCCCUUGACAGCCACAGAGAUGUGGUCUCUCUUCGGAGCAAGGAGACAGGUGGUGCAUGGUU